rnacentral:lncRNA from 1 species
CGUAAUGUUAUAAUAAUUAUUUUACAUUCAUAAUUUGAUUAUAUAACAAUUAAUAUAUUAUAUGUCCGUAAACAAGUAUAUAUACUAUUUUAUAUUAUAUAAUAUGUACUAAAUCUAAUUAUGUCACAUUACAAAAUAAGUUCAUAUCAUAAUUGUAGAGCCCAAUAUUUGCCCGGCCCGCUAAAGAAACCAAAAAGAAAAAAAACAAAAACAAAAUUAACCCCAGCCCAAUACCCUUUGGCCCAACAGACCCAAGCCAUUAACCUUGUACAGCCCAAAAACAGGAAACCCUAAGCAGUGGCAGCAAACUGGCGCCGCAACUGCUGCCCCAUUGCGCGCCUCCGUCUGCACGCACACCUCCGCGAAAUCCGCGCACGUCACACCUACAGCAACGAACAGAAACAAACAGCAAAAAAGAAGGCAUAUACAAACGCAACAAUAACAGAAAAUAAGGAUGCUUUUCGUAUUUUACGGGAUUUUUAUUCAUUUAUCUUUCUUUUUUUUCGGGUAUAAAAUCGAUGGAAAAAAUCUGUAAAAUGGGGGGGAUUUUUUCAGUGUAAAAGAUAUACGAAAACAGAGAGAAAUCUUUUGAAUACUAAAGGUGAAUUUUUUGUUUUCAUUUUAUUCUUGGGUGUUCAUUAUUCCUAGGAAGGAUUUUCUUUUUUCUUUUUAUUUUUUUAUUUUUUUCGGUUAAAAUAUAAAAAAAGGGAGAGGAUCUUACCUGGUGCCGUCGCUGUGUCCCCUCUUCGUCGCAAUCGGAGGCCGGGGCGUCGUCGAAGGCCGUGGGAGGCUUGAGUGGCGGCGGCGGCAUAAAAAGGGAGAAACCCUAGCUGAGGGUUUCUCUGCUAUUUAGAAUGGAAAAGAAAAAAUGAAUUUUGAAAGGAAAUUUUUGAUUUUAUAACAAGACCAAAACGGCGCUGUAUAGGGCCAUACCCAAGUGCGUGACCCGACCCGCCUGCGGAUCCGCGCAUUUCCACUCGGAAUGGGAUAUUUUUUCAAUCAGUCCCCCUGAUUUUGAUUCGUUUUCAAAAUUGUUAUUUCAAAUAUUUGCAAUUUUAGCCACGUUGUUUCUCUUCCGUUUUAAUUUGGUCCAUUGACCAUGCGCAUGGGCCUCACUGGUACGACGCAGUUCGAUCGGAAUGGGAAUAUUUCCCUUCUGGUCCUCCUCCUUUCACGCGAGUUGUGAAUCUGUCCUUUUUUUUAAAAAAUUUUGAUUUUGGCCCUAAAACUUUGCGUAGUUUCGAUUUAGUCCCCAAUUUGUUAUCAGUUAUUUUUAAACUAAAUAUUUUAUUAUUGUCCUUGUUAUUAUAUAAUAUCAUUACUAUAGUAUUAUUAUUUUGUUAUAAUCAUUACAUUUGUGCAUUUUUUUUACAAUGUAUGCGUAUACAUUUAUAUAUAUAUUCAUAUGUAUUUUAUAGUAUAUAUACAUUUCAUAAUAUUUAUAGAUUUUCUAUAAUAUACAUACAUUUUUAUAUCUUUUAAAAUUAUUAUAAAUAUUUUUUUAUUUUAUAUAUCUCAUUAUUUUAUAUACAUGUAGAGCCCAGUUAUUGCCCAGGCCUAAACCAAUACAGGCCCAACAAAAUUAAAACUCAAGCCCAAUUACCCAAACAAUAAACAAACCAGCCCAACACUAAAAAACCCUAGAACCUUCAGCACAACUCCUAGAGUCGUAGCCAAGCAACCCCAACUGCCGCACGACUCGGGGCCAGAAGCCUCCCUCCGAGCAAUUUGCGCCUCCACGUGCGCCGCUCCUCCACGAGCGCCAUGCCUUGCGCAUCGCACCUGCAACAGCAAACAAAAACAAACCGCAACGAAAUAGGGAUAGCAUAAGAGACAACGGGAGAAAGAUGGUAUAAAUUUUGCAUCCCAGUGGAUCAAACUUGGAGGUUUACAGUGGGGGGCAAUCUGGUCAAGUGUUUCUUUCGAGACGCCAGCUGAGCAAGAGGGUGCUAUAGUACAUUAGCGAUGAAACUUUAAAUAAACUGUGAGUAAUGAUAACCUAAGUGAAAAUGAGGGAUCAUACUCGAAAAAAUGACAUUCUGCAUUCAUUCAAAUGUCAUUCAUACAUGCCUAGUUAGGAGCAUUUGAUUCAUUUGAUCAUGACAUCCUAAUCAUUAGGCAUAGUUAGGUUCAUAAAGUGAAUUAUACAGGUCAUGUUCCCCAGAGAACAGAUCGGUGAAAUCAUAAAGCCUUAUCUCCCUGGACAACAGUUGAGUAGGUUCAAAGUCAACAGAUCUUGUCUCCCCAUACUGGUGGUGGAGUAGAUCAAAGAAAGCAGAUCUUGCCUUCAUGUAUCGGCGUGAAGUAGAUCAAAGUCAACAGAUCUUGUCUCCCCAUACUGGUGGUGGAGUAGAUCAAAGAAAGCAGAUCUUGUCUUCAUGUACUAGCGUGAAGUAGAUCAAAUAUACAGAUCUCGCCUUCCCAUACUGGUGGCGAAGCAGAUCGAAGGAAAAAGCAGAUCUUGUCUUCAUGUACUGGCGUGAAGUAGAUCAAAGAUACAGAUCUCGCCUUCCUAUACUGGUGGCGAAGCAGAUCGAAGGAAAAAGUAGAUCUUGUCUCCCCAUACUGGUGGCGAAGCAGAUCGAAGGAAAAAGUAGAUCUUGUCUUCAUGUACUGGCGUGAAGUAGAUCAAAGAUACAGAUCUCGCCUUCCCAUACUGGUGGCGAAGCAGAUCGAAGGAAAAAGCAGAUCUUGUCUUCAUGUACUGGCGUAAAGUAGAUCAAAGAUACAGAUCUCGCCUUCCCAUACUGGUGGCGAAGCAGAUCGAAGGAAAAAACAGAUCUUGUCUCCCCAUACUGGUGGCGAAGCAGAUCGAAGGAAAAAGCAGAUCUUGUCUUCAUGUACUGGCGUGAAGUAGAUCAAAGAUACAGAUCUCGCCUUCCCAUACUGGUGGCGAAGCAGAUCGAAGGAAAAAGUAGAUCUUGUCUUCAUGUACUGGCGUGAAGUAGAUCAAAGAUACAGAUCUCGCCUUCCCAUACUGGUGGCGAAGCAGAUCGAAGGAAAAAGCAGAUCUUGUCUUCAUGUACUGGCGUGAAGUAGAUCAAAUAUACAGAUCUCGCCUUCCCAUACUGGUGGCGAAGCAGAUCGAAAGAAAAAGCAGAUCUUGUCUUCAUGUACUGGUGUGAAGUAGAUCAAAGAUAACAGAUCUCGCCUUCCCAUAUUGGUGGCGAAGCAGAUCGAAAGAAAGUAGAUAUUGUCUUCAUGUAUCAGCGUGAAGUAGAUCAAAGUCAACAGAUCUUAUCUCCCCAUACUGGUGGUGGAGUAGAUCAAAGAAAGUAGAUCUUGCCUUCAUGUAUCAGCGUGAAGUAGAUCAAAGUCAACAGAUCUUGUCUCCCCAUACUGGUGGUGGAGUAGAUCAAAGAAAGCAAAUCUUGUCUUCAUGUAUUGGCGUGAAGUAGAUCAAAGAAACAGAUCUUGUCUCCCCAUACUGGUGGUGGAGUAGGUCGAAGAAAACAGAUCGUGUCUUCAUGUACUGGCGUGAAGUAGAUCAAAGAUAGUAGGUCCUGUCUUCCUAUAUUGGUAGCGAAGUGGAUCGAAUAUACAUCUUCCCAUACCUGUGGCAAAGUAGAUUGAAGAUUACAGAUUUUGCCUCCCUAAGCAGUAGUGGAGCAGAUCGAAGAUGACGGAAUUUACCUCCCUGAAGUUGCAGUGGAGUAUAUUGAAGCCAGUAAUUCUACAUCCCCGGUCGGUAGUGGAAUCGAUCGAAGAAAGCAGAUCUUGUCUUCCCAUACUGGUGGUGAAGUAGAUCAAAGAUACAAGUCUUAUCUCCCUGAAGUUGCAGUGGAGCAGACAGAAAUAACCGGCCCUAUCUCCUUGGAGUUGCAAUGGAGUGGACUAAAACCACAGAUCGCAUCUCUCUGAAGUUGCAGUAGAGCAGAUCGUGUCAGAUUUAUCCUUAAGUUGUAGCAGAGCAAAUUGAAGCUACAGGUCUUAUCUCCCUGAAGUUGCAGUGGAGCAGAUUAAAAUUUAGUUCUCUUGAGAAGCUACAACAUACAAAUCCUAUCUCCCUGACAUUGCAGUGGAGUAGAUUGAAACGCUAGUUCCUAUAUCUCAGAAGAUGUAGCAGGAAGGAAUGAGGCUAUUUGAAGUAGAGAAGCAUUGAAGAAGUUGAGGCUCAAUAAGGCCGGGCACAAUUGGGCUUUUGGUCUUUGCUCUAUUCCCGUUACACGACAAUGAGCAAAGAGGGGCAGCUGUAGAGCCCAGUUAUUGCCCGGGCCUAAACCAAUACAGGCCCAACAAAAUUAAAACUCAAGCCCAAUUACCCAAACAAUAAACAAACCAGCCCAACACUAAAAAACCCUAGAACCUUCAGCACAACUCCUAGCGCCGUAGCCAAGCAACCCCAACCGCCGCACGACUCGGGGCCAGAAGCCUCCCUCCGAGCAAUUUGCUCCUCCACGUGCGCCGCUCCUCCACAAGCGACAUGCCUUGCGCAUCGCACCUGCAACAGCAAACAAAAACAAACCGCAACGAAAUAGGGAUAGCAUAAGAGAUUUCGUUUUUUAGAUUUAUUUUUAUUUUCUAUUGUUGGCUAUAAAAGGCCAACUUCAAUAUGUAAAUGGGGGGGAACGGAUUUUUGUAUCGAGAGAAUACAGAGAAAGAAGAGAAAAAAAUAAAAAGAGGAAUACACAAGCAGUUUUUUAGGUGAUUUUCUCCAUUUUUUUAUUUCCAUUUUUACAAAAGAAUAAUAAAAAAUAUAAACGGGUGCUUACCUGGUUUUGAGAACCGGAUCUGAGCACCGUUCGCGGUGGUUCCAUGGCAGUCAAUGGCGCCAUGAAAGCUAGGGUUGGAAAACCUAGCAGACAAACUUCUCCCUUUUCCCCUCUGUUUAUGUUUUUAAAAAAAAGAAAAAUGAAAUGAAGCAGAAACCGUUUUUUUUUAAGGAAAAUGUUGGUUUUAUUAUUAAAGCAAAACGGCGCCAUAUGGGAGGGGGUGGGAUCCGCGCGCCGACCCGACCCGGUUCCAAGAUCCGCGCCUAUUCCUUUAAAUGGUCCAUUUGCGCAUUUGGUCCUUCAAUUUUUAAAAUCGUUUUUAAAUCAGUUUUUUUUUCUUUUUAAAUGUGGCCGCACACUUUGCUUUUGUUUCAUUUUGAUCCUCUUUUAAACGCACUGUUUGGGGAAAAGAAUUAUUUCCAUUUUGGCCCCUCAUAUAAUGUAUGCGUUGCAAAUUGGCCCCCGUUCUAUUUUAAUUUCAUUUUUGGUUAUUUUGUUUUUUUUUUGCAAUUCGUUUUUUAAAAUUUUUUAUUUUUAAAAUUAUUACUAUAUUAUUUAUUAUCAUUUAUUACUAUUUCUAUAUUUAUACAUGCAUUUUACAUACGUUUUAUAUUUUUUUUUAUUUUAUCUUUUUUAACCUUUAUAUACUUUAUAUUAUAUAUAUACUUAUAUAUUUCUUUUAUUUUGUAAAUAUAUACACAUGUACAUACUUUUAUGUUUUUUUAUUUUAUUUUCAUAAUUUUUACAUGUACAUAUAUAUAUAUUUCUAUAAUAUGUGCGUACAUUUUUUUUUUAGAAAUUAUUACAGGGCUUUUGCUUUACAUGUUUCAUUCCUUUUUAGAUGUAUACUAAUAUAUGUUGGAAAAGAUACAUGCACACUCAUAUUUUUAAUUUACUUGUAAAUUGUGCUUGUAUAUAUAUUUUGUAAAUACAUGUACAUAUAUAUUUUAAAUUAAGGUAUUUGUUUCAUGUUGUACAUUAACCUUUUAACACGCCUUUUAGAAAACACAUAUUUUGGUUCUCAAAGUAUUUAAAUCAUCCUAUUUUAUAAAUUCCAAAAUAUUUGGCAUUCAUGAUUCUCGUGAAAGAUCGUGUCCUAACUUACUGGAUUGCGAUUAUUUUUCGAUGAAUUUAGAAAGCCAAGUAUUUGUUUUGCAAUAAAUCCACAAAUUUCAAAUAAAAGCUUAUUCUCGGGAAUUCAAAAUGUUGGGUCCUAACUUACUGGUCAUGACAUUUUAUUAUCUCGAAAUAAGGAUUUCAAAAACAAAAGGCAAUAUUCGGAAUUUUGAAGAUUUAAAAACAUUGUGCCCUAACUCACUGGGUGUGGUGUUUUAUUUCUUUGAAAUAAGAAUGUCUUUUUAUUUUAAUCCAUUCAUGAAAUAAAAAGUUUCCUUUUAAAAUGUUUUCAAAUUUUCGACACCAAGACAUUAAAAAAAAUCAAUUUGGUACCAAUUUUGGGCGUUACGAGGGUGCUAAUCCUUCCUCGUGCGUAACUGACUCCCGAACCUGUUUUCUCAAAUUUCGCAGACUAAAAUUAUUUUUAAGGUGGGCCGAUCACACCUUAAUAAAGGAUCGGUGGCGACUCCAGUUUUUAUUUUUAAGUCAAAACUAAAAUUUUUGUUUUCAAAGAACGGUUUCGACAAUACAUAUUGUACAUAUAUAUAUGUAUUUGAAUAUAUACGUAUGCGAAUUUUCAUGAUUUACCUAUGUAUAUAUACUUAUACAUUUUUUUCCUAUUCUGUAAAUAUAUACACAUACGCAUAUCUUUAUACUUUUUUUUAUUUUUACGAUUUUCAUAUACAUUUUAAAUUAAAGUAUUUGUAUCAUAUUGUACAUUAAUUCUUUAACAUACCCUUUUUGAAAAUAUGGUUUGGUUCUAACCAUACAUCAAAGUUAUUUUCUUGAUUCAAAGGUUUUUUUGAAUAAAAGCAAUAUUCGAAGUUUGGGAUUUUCGAGGGAAAUUGAGCCCUAACGUAUUGGGUUUUGAUUUUCUUUGUUAAUCCUAAAUAACCGAGAAUAUUCUUUAUUCAAAAUGCAUGAGAAUAAAAAUCAUUUUUGGGAACUUAACUUGUUGUGUCCUAACGUAUUGGGUGUGGCAUGUUAUUUUCUCAAAAUGAAGAUUUUCACAUAAAAUAAAGUGAUAUUCAAAGUUCGGGGAUUAUGAAGAAUUGUACCCUAACGUAUUGGGACUCGAUUUCUUUACAUGACUUGAGCAAUUGAUUAUCCAUUUUCAAAUUCCAUCGUUUGAGUUGAUUUUGAAAUCUUUUUAAACCUUCGACACUAAGACAUCAAAUAAUCAAUUUGGUACCGAUUUUGGGCAUUACGAGGGUGCUAACCCUUCCUCGUGCGUAACUGACUCCCGAACUCGUUUUCUUAAAAUUCGUAGACCAAAAUAAUUUUUAAGGUGAGCCGAUCACACCUUAAUAAAGGAUCGGUGGCAACUCCAGUUUUAUUUUUAAAGUCGACAACUAAAUUUUUGUUUUCAAAAAAUGGUUUCGACAGCUUGGCGACUCCACUGGGGACAUUAGAGAGUCAAGCCAUAAAUUGGUUAUUUGUUUGUCUUGUGAUCGAAAAUUAAAUUUGGGUUUUAAAAUCAUAAUUUCCCUUCAUACUUUUUUUUACCAUGGAAUGUUGGCUACUUUGCAUUUGCAUUUGCAUUUUGCAUUUUACCCUUUAAGUGGGAGCGAGAAACUAGUCCUUCGUGAGGUUUUCACCUCCGUGUAGGGUAGUGGACCGCUUCCGGGAUACAUCCGUACCUAUGUCUUCGUGAGAUUUUCAUCUCCGUGCAGCCAUAAGGAAAUGUAUCCCCCUGAACUAAACUCGAUCCAUAUGAGCCUAUAAUGGGUGAGGAUCGAGGAAUCUGCUGGUUCGGGUACCCUUACUCUAGAAACUAAACCUUAUAUAGUGAGCUUUAGGAACUUGACCUAGGUAGAACUAUCCCAAAACCCUAGUGAAUUCCUGAAUAAAUGUUCUUGCUAUUUCAUGUUUGUAUUGGAUUAUAUCUUUUUGGUGUGAUACUGACUUGGGUUUAUUUUGUUUUGAUUGCAUGACAUCAUGAUUGUAUUGCAUUUGCAUCUUAGAAAAGAAAUGUUGAUUUGAGUUCGAUUACUAGAUUAGAAAGCUUGUUAUGGAAUACGGGUUUCUUGAUAAGGUGGAAGAUAAUACGGUGGUCCGAAGAAAACAUAGCACGAAAAGCCUAACAAGAGGAGUAUUCAACUUUGCUGCAUGACCUGAGGAUCCAAAUUGUCAAAGUUUGUUCAAAAGUCAUCAAAGGUCCCAAUCUCAUAAAGAAGCUAAUGAACGUGAAUGAGCAAGGAUUUACGACCUAGAUCAAACAAAAAGGAGAUCAAAUUCGUGAGAUGUAUCUUAAUAUCUGAAGGGUCGAUGUCUUCACUUGGAGUACGAGGGUAAAGCCGUAUAUAUAUGUCCGCUUUAUGUAAAGAGAUUUGUUUUCUAGUAAAGUUUUCUAGUAAAAAUUAAACAUGAAUCAACGUCUCUUUUUUGCAUUCAUUUCAUGCACUUGCAUCACAUUACAUCACAUGCACUAAACACCGUUAAGGGAUCCUGAUUAACUAAAAUCAUUACUCAGUUAACCUGGAAACCAACCAACCAACCAGACACCGUUAUGGUACUCGAGCAAAGAUUAAGGACAUGGAUCAGAAAUUGGAAAAACUCGAACAGUGUCAGAUGGAGAUGCAAGACUGACUUCAGCUACAGGUGCAGGAGCGGUUAGAUAAGAUGCAACAGGAUAUGUCUGAGAAGAUGUGAGAAUCUCAAGAUGAUAUGAUAGCGAAGCUAACCAAACUGUUAACUAAGGGAAGUGAUAAAGGAAAGGGCCCCAUGGCAAAUGUCGAUGAGGGAAAUGAUGAUGAACCUCUCUAUCCUCCAGGUUUCAUCCCUCCACAUGUACGAACUCAAGCUGAAUACCCGCGCAAAUCUACUGUAACCAUCAUGCCGCAGCAGUUUCAGGCUGGUGUUUUGAGCUUCCAAGCUAGACCGAGAUUUAAUCCUGAAAAUAAUCCUAUUAACUCUGCCAUUCCUGACUUUGAUGAAGUGGUUGAGAAGGAAAGAAUGAAGGAGGAGUUAUCGAAACAGUUAGAGGAAAUAUGCAAGUGGCUCGAGGAGAAGUUCAAGGCAAUGGAGGUUGCUAAAAGUUAUCGAGGCACUGAUGCCAAAGAGCUAAGCUUAGUUCCGGACUUGGUGCUUCCUCAUAAGUUUAAGAUGCCGGAGUUUGAAAAGUACAAUGGGACAAGUUGCCUAGAAGCUCAUAUCACCAUGUUCUGCAGACGAAUGGCGGGAUAUGUUAACAACGACCAACUCUUGAUACAUUGUUUCCAAGACAGCCUUGCAGGGGCAGCAUCCAAAUGGUACAAUCAGCUGAGCCGUACCACGAUAGGUUCAUGGAGGGACUUGGCACAAGCAUUCAUGAAACAGUAUAGUCAUGUGACAGACAUGGCUUCUGAUAGAAUUACCCUUCAAAACAUUGAGAAGAAGCCGAGCGAAAGCUUUAGGCAGUACGCACAAAGGUGGAGGGAAGUCGCAGUCCAAGUUCAACCACCGCUCUUAGAGAAAGAAAUGAUGAUGCUUUUUAUAAAUACAUUGAAAGCCCCGUUCAUCACACAUAUGUUAGGAAGUGCCACAAAAAACUUUUCUGACAUAGUUAUGAAUGGUGAAAUGAUUGAAAGCGCCAUAAUGAGUGGGAAAAUUGAUGCAGAGGAGAGUAACAAGAGGUUAGUCCCAAGGAGAAGAGAAAAUGAGGUGAACAAUACGGGUUACUCUAAAUCAGUUACUAUGAGUCAGCCAAGAGAGGUGGAUACUAACCAAUAAGGUUCAUUAAGACAAGAAUCUAGAGUGAAACCAGGUACCGAGAAGCUCCAGUUCAUACCAAUUUCGAUGUCAUAUAAGGAUCUGUAUCAAAGCUUGUUUGAUGCACAUAUUAUUGCUCCACAUUACUUAAAACCUCCACAACCUCCGUAUCCUAAGUGGUAUGAUGCAAACGCGCAAUGUGACUACAACGCAGGAAUUACGGGGCACUCAUUAAAGAAUUGCAUUACCUUCAAAAAGCUAGUUGAAAAAUUCAUCAAUAUGGGUAUUGUCAAGUUGGGUGACUCAUCAAGUGCAGAAAAUCCGUUACCCAAUCAUGAUUGAUGGUGAAGGGAAUGCAACGAAUGAAGAAGUGGAGACACAAUUAAAAGGAUCAUUGUUAGAUAUUCGCCUUAGAGGUGUUGUAAAUAAUGAGACUGUAGAGGAAACCCCUGAAGUAUUUAGAGUCCGUUAGAGUAAUGUUCAGAACACACUUGUUGCUUUUAGCCUAGAAGCAAUAAGAACUUCUUUGUGAAAUAGGCUCAUGUCUGAACAUUGUUAUUUUAAUGAAAUACAUUAUUGCAAUCAUCUUUGGGCAAAUGUUCUUUCAUUCUUUACGAUUUUUUUUCAUUCUUUCAGAUUUUUUCUGCCAAACCAUUCAUUCAUAUUAUUCAUAUAUUCUUUGUAUAUCCUUUAGCACCUACAAUAGGUCCUUGGAUAUCAAUGACAUGAGUGACGCUGCUACAGACUCAGAAUCUCCUUUUUGAUGAGACAUGUGUUUAGAGGGAUCUCACAGCUUUGAAGGUGACAUGGAUUGUAGCUUAUCUCCAGACUUUUUGAGGAUGGUAGAGGAUAGAUAGAUCCUACCUCACAAAGAAUCAUUAAAAGUUGUGAGCUUGGUGAAGAUUGGAAUUAAUAUGACUUUAAAGACAAAGCAUGACAUUGUUAAGUUACUUCAAGAAUUCAAAGAUGUCUACGCAUGGUCAUACCAGGAUAUGCCUAGGUUAAGCACUGUCAUUACAAUCUGAACAACAGCACGAUAUCAGAAAUUUUCAGUAUGUUCAAGAUUAAUAUCAUGAAUGAUGCAGUGGAAAUUCUACCAGAGCAGUGCCCCUCUCUUUAGUUCAUCACGGUUUUUUCUAUUGAAGUUGAAAUUCUUUCUCUUCGGGUAUUGGCUGAGCAAGUUGGAUGAAGCAGAAUAGAUCCGAUCGCAAUGUGAUCAAUUGAACUUGAUAGAAGGAAGAAGAUUAAAAGCUAUUCAUCACGGUCAGAUGUACCAGAAAUGAAUGAUGCAAGCCUAUAACAAAAGGUUCAUCCUAGAGAAUUCCACGAGGGUGACCAAAUGUUGAAGAUCCUCCAUCUACAAAAAUAUUAUGGAAGGAAAUGGAUGCCAAAUUGGGUGGAACCUUAUGAUUAUAGAGAAGGUUUUUUUCCAAAUGAGCUUUGAUUUUGAGCGAGAUGGAUGAUAAACCUGUAAAGUCCUGUAAACUCAAAUUCAGUCAGGAAAUUCUCCGUUUUAAGAAGGAGAGGACCAAGGUAAAAACCCACAAAGGGAAGUUUGAGUCCAAAAAAAAAAGAAAAGAAAAAGAAGUGAUGUGAAAAAUGAAAAGAUGAAAAUGAAAAAUGAAAAAGUAAAAAGUAAAAAUGGAGAGGCUAAGGUGAAAACCCGCAAAUGGCGCCUUAGACCAAAGGGGAUUUGAGUUGAAAACCCAAAAAGGGCGGCUCAAAUGUUGAUCAAAAUGGCGUUUGAAAUUUUCAGAGUAGCUCAAAUACUGAUCAGAAUGGGGGCAUGCAGUGGUCUUGCUAUACCUGAAUCAACAGGAAAUGGUAGGCGACAUCUUGGGGCAUCGACAAAGUACUCCUAAACACAUGUUAAACUCAGAAUGGUCUUUAAAAAAAUCUGUACAGAGAAGUUCAAGUUGCGAUAUCUGAGACACCUAAUCAUUAUACUAUUUUUUUUGUUAUUCUUGGAACACUACAUUCAUUUCCAAGAUAUGCAUUCCUAAAUCAAUUUCUUUGUUAUCCAUCUUUAUUAUCUUUGACAACUUAUUCAUUUCGAGUAUGCUCAGAACCAAUCUAUUCUUAUCCAUGAUCUUUUUUGCAAGCAUGUUGCAUUAGAAUAAUGAUUAAUGGACUAAUAAAACUUUCACAAGGGAAGUUUUGCAUAUUACUCUAGAAGUUUCUGAAUAAUAUAGGAACCUCAAACAGGACUAUUGUUUAGAACGCACCAGGUUGGAAAUCUGAUAAAGAAGAGUUUAAAUUAAGACUAUCCCUUUGAAUUUUCUUGUCUAACAUAUUAAUUGAACAAAAUGGCAAGAUGCCGUGUUGGUGACAAAGCUUCAAUAAACAAGCAAGCAAUGAUCACCGAAUAAUAAGAAGAAGUUGUUCUUGGAGAAGAUUUCUUCAUUUGUGCAUGAGCAUUUGGUACAACACCCUGGGAAUGGUGUGAGAGACCAAAAAGUUUCACAUCCUGUAUCCUUGAAUUGUGAUAACAGAGGAUUUAGGAAAGGCCAAAUCUUUUACUCUUGGUUUACAACGGGAGAAAGAUGGUACAAAUUUUUGCAUCCCAGUGGAUUAAACUUUGAAGGUUACAGUGGGGGCAAUCUGGUUAAGUGUUUCUUUGGAGACGCCAGCCGAGCAAGAAGGCGUUAUAGCACAUUAGCGAUGAAACUUUAAAUAAACUUGGAGUAAUAAUAACUCAAGCGUUAAAAUAUCAUUUUCAUGACAUUCUGCAUUCAUUCAAAUGUCAUUCAUACAUGUCUAGUUAGGAGCAUUUGAUUCAUUCUGAUCAUGUCAUCCUAAUCAUUAGGCAUAAUUAGGUUCAUUAUACAGGUCAUGUUCUCCAGAGAACAGAUCAGUGAAAAUAGCAGAUCUUGCCUUUCUGCAUUGACAGCGAAGCAAAUUGAAGAUACCAGUCUUACCUCCCUCGGUUGCAGUGGAGCAGGUUGAUGGCGGAUUUUACCUCCCUGAGGUUAUAGUGGAGUACAUUGAAGCCAAUAAUUCUAUCUCCUUGGGCAGCAGUGGAAUAGAUUGAAGAUUACAGAUCUUAUCUCUCUAAGCAAUAAUGGAGCAGAUCAAAUAUGGCAGAUUUUACCUCCCUGGGGUUACAGUGGAGUACAUUAAAGCCAGUAAUUCUAUCUCCCUAGGCAGCAGCGGAAUAGAUUGAAGAUUACAGAUCUUAUCUCCCUAGGUAGUAGUAGAGUAGAUCGAGGAUGGCAGAUUUUACCUCCCUGAGGUUACAGUGGAGUACAUUGAAGCCAGUAAUUCUAUCUCCCUGGGCAGCAGUGGAAUAGAUUGAAGAUUACAGAUCUUAUCUCCCUAAGCAGUAGUGGAGUAGAUCGAAGAUGGCGGAUAUUACCUCACUGAGGUUACAGUGGAGUACAUUGAAGCCAGUAAUUCUAUUGAAGAUUACAGAUAUUAUCUCCCUCAGCAGUAGUGGAGCAGAUCAAGGAUGGCGGAUUUUACCUCCCUGAGGUUACAGUGGAGUACAUUGAAGCCAGUAACUCUAUCUCCCUAGACAACAGUGGAAUAGAUUGAAGAUUACAGAUCUCAUCUCCCUAGGCAGCGAAGUAGAUCAAAGUUGCAAUGGGGCAAACUAAGGAACCACAGAUCUUAUCUCUCUGAAGUUGCAGAGGGCGGAUCGCAUCUAGUCUUAUCUCCCUGAAGUUGCAGUGGAGCAGACAGAACAAACUCCUUGAAGUUGCAACGGAGUGGAUUAUAACCACAGAUCUCAUCUAUCUGAAGUUGCAGUAGAGUAGAUCGCGUCAGAUCUUAUCUUUAAGUUGUACCAGAACAAGUUGAAGCUAUAAGUCUUAUCUCCCUGAAGUUGCAGUGGAGCAGACUAGAGAUAGCAAAUUUUGUUCUUUUGAGAAGCCACAAGGUACGAAUCCUAUCUCCCUGACGUUGCAGUGGAGUGGAUCGAAGCACUGGUUCCUAUACCCCUGAAGAUGCAGUAGGAAUAAACGAGGCUACCUGAGAAAGAAAAGCACUGAUAAAGUUGAAGCUUAGUAAGAUCGGGCACAAUUGGGCUUUUAGUCAUUGCUCUAUUCCCGUUACACGACAAUGAGCAAAGAGGGGCAGCUGUAGAGCCCAAUUUUUGCCCGGCCCGCUAAAGAAACCAAAAAGAAAAAAAAAACAAAAUUAACCCCAGCCCAAUACCCUUUGGCCCAACAGACCCAAGCCAUUAACCUUGUACAACCCAAAAAUAGGAAACCCUAAGCAGUGGCAGCAAACUGGUGCCGCAACUUCUGCCCCAUUGUACGCCUUCGUCUGCAUGCACACCUCCGCGAACAUCGCGCACGUCACACCUGCAGCAACGAACAGAAACAAACAGCAAAAAAGAAGGCAUAUACAAACGCAACAAUAACAGAAAAUAAGGAUGCUUUUCGUAUUUUGCGGGAUUUUUAUUUGUUUAUCUUUCUUUGUUUUCGGGUAUAAAAUCGAUGGAAAAAAUCUGUAAAAUGGGGGGGAUUUUUUCAGUGUAAAAGAUAUACGAAAACAGAGAGAAAUCUUUUGAAUACUAAAGGUGAAUUUUUUGUUUUCGUUUUAUUCUUGGGUGUUCAUUAUUCCUAGGAAGGAUUUUCUUUUUUCUUUUUAUUUUU